rnacentral:lncRNA from 1 species
UUUCCAUAAGGAUAGAUCUAAUAGGCUUAAAGAAUGCAUAGGACAGAAGAAAAUUUACUAUUCUUAAAGCUGGAUGAAGACCAAUUAAAUUUUAUGGUGUUGUCUUGCAGAUGUAGCACAAAUGGAAUUAAUGGACUAAGUGUGUGCUUAAAUACAUAAAAGUUCAAGGUCUAAAUCUGUUUUAUAGUCUGCCAGCAGUUAUAUGAGUCAAGUACCUCUUAUUCAAGUGUUAAGAGCCUAUUAUUCAAAUGUUGAUCUAGAAAAAUAUUGUUAUUCUUCUGUGAAAGUAGCAAUAAGUAAAUACACAGAAAAAGAUAAAUGAAUGUUUAAAUGUUAUCGGCUUCUAAAGGAAUAAAGGGGUGUGUGUUUUAGUUUGGGGGUUUUCGAGUGUUUUUUGUUUGGUUGAUUGGUUUUGGUUUUGUUUUCUCUUGGUUUUACUUUUGCAGGGGGGAGAUUUAUUUUUCAGUUAAUGAAAAAAUAGAUCAUUGACCUGGAAAAUUGAAAGUCUGAUGCCCCAAGAGUACUAAUAUUAAUGUAUAACAUUCUAUAAUUGUGCCAUACAAUACCAUAUUGCUUGAAACUUAUUAGAUUCUCCAAAACAGACUUAAUUGCAAUUGGAGGAUUCUAGGAGACUGCAGAAGAUAGGUAUACUUGCUGGCCUCAUAAAACAGAACUUUUUUUUAACAAGGCAAAAGAUUACAGAAGAAAUGUGGUCCAGGAACUCAGCCACUGUGCUAUCAUCCUUCCACACUCUUUCCUCAAAAUUCAUGUAAGGUGGAAUAACAGAUGUGCUUCCUGACAAGUAUGCAGCACACAGAGCAAAUACACCUUUCCCACGAAAGCAUUUCUGGGAAAAUACUGGUGAUGGACCUCAGGUCUCCAGUACUCAGCAAAGAUUGUGAGGGCCAUGUUGACCCAGCAG